GAGUUUGAAUCAUGGCUCAGGACGAACGCUGGCGGCGUGCCUAAUACAUGCAAGUCGAACGAACUCUGGUAUUGAUUGGUGCUUGCAUCAUGAUUUACAUUUGAGUGAGUGGCGAACUGGUGAGUAACACGUGGGAAACCUGCCCAGAAGCGGGGGAUAACACCUGGAAACAGAUGCUAAUACCGCAUAACAACUUGGACCGCAUGGUCCGAGCUUGAAAGAUGGCUUCGGCUAUCACUUUUGGAUGGUCCCGCGGCGUAUUAGCUAGAUGGUGGGGUAACGGCUCACCAUGGCAAUGAUACGUAGCCGACCUGAGAGGGUAAUCGGCCACAUUGGGACUGAGACACGGCCCAAACUCCUACGGGAGGCAGCAGUAGGGAAUCUUCCACAAUGGACGAAAGUCUGAUGGAGCAACGCCGCGUGAGUGAAGAAGGGUUUCGGCUCGUAAAACUCUGUUGUUAAAGAAGAACAUAUCUGAGAGUAACUGUUCAGGUAUUGACGGUAUUUAACCAGAAAGCCACGGCUAACUACGUGCCAGCAGCCGCGGUAAUACGUAGGUGGCAAGCGUUGUCCGGAUUUAUUGGGCGUAAAGCGAGCGCAGGCGGUUUUUUAAGUCUGAUGUGAAAGCCUUCGGCUCAACCGAAGAAGUGCAUCGGAAACUGGGAAACUUGAGUGCAGAAGAGGACAGUGGAACUCCAUGUGUAGCGGUGAAAUGCGUAGAUAUAUGGAAGAACACCAGUGGCGAAGGCGGCUGUCUGGUCUGUAACUGACGCUGAGGCUCGAAAGUAUGGGUAGCAAACAGGAUUAGAUACCCUGGUAGUCCAUACCGUAAACGAUGAAUGCUAAGUGUUGGAGGGUUUCCGCCCUUCAGUGCUGCAGCUAACGCAUUAAGCAUUCCGCCUGGGGAGUACGGCCGCAAGGCUGAAACUCAAAGGAAUUGACGGGGGCCCGCACAAGCGGUGGAGCAUGUGGUUUAAUUCGAAGCUACGCGAAGAACCUUACCAGGUCUUGACAUACUAUGCAAAUCUAAGAGAUUAGACGUUCCCUUCGGGGACAUGGAUACAGGUGGUGCAUGGUUGUCGUCAGCUCGUGUCGUGAGAUGUUGGGUUAAGUCCCGCAACGAGCGCAACCCUUAUUAUCAGUUGCCAGCAUUAAGUUGGGCACUCUGGUGAGACUGCCGGUGACAAACCGGAGGAAGGUGGGGAUGACGUCAAAUCAUCAUGCCCCUUAUGACCUGGGCUACACACGUGCUACAAUGGAUGGUACAACGAGUUGCGAACUCGCGAGAGUAAGCUAAUCUCUUANAGCCAUUCUCAGUUCGGAUUGUAGGCUGCAACUCGCCUACAUGAAGUCGGAAUCGCUAGUAAUCGCGGAUCAGCAUGCCGCGGUGAAUACGUUCCCGGGCCUUGUACACACCGCCCGUCACACCAUGAGAGUUUGUAACACCCAAAGUCGGUGGGGUAACCUUUUAGGAACCAGCCGCCUAAGGUGGGACAGAUGAUUAGGGUGAA
rnacentral:rRNA from 1 species